UAUCCUUAAGCGGGCAAAAGGGUUUUCUCAAUUCUCCUUCAUUCAAUUUUGAAACCGCUGCUCUUCAUAUGGAAACCACAAUCAAUCACCAACCACUUGAAAAUAUUCUACUUCUCACACGCUUCUCCCUUCCACAACACGAUUCACAACCCUAAUUCAUCAAUCGUCGCUCUCUUCCUCCCUAGGUUUCUUCCUCUACCAGUUUGUUCUUCAUUAAUCGUCGUUAUUUUACUCCCAUUUCCUCCAUAACAAUGAAAGUUACUCGAUUUCGUCUCGAUUUGUUAUCCCAAUCUGAUUUUUGGCAUCCAGGUAACAAUCAAUAUCAUCAAUAUGUUUACCAAUUUAGGGUGAAAUCAACAAAAAAAAUCAUCACUGAUACAGAUCCGACAGCGGUAUCUAUUGAUUUGGUGUGCAUAACCUUCAACUUUAACGCUUGAAGGUAAUAUUGAUUUUAACAAGUUUAAUAUGUCCUGUGUGUUUUGUAGUUAGAAUGCUGAAAGAUUUAUGUGUGAAAAUCAUUGACGAUUAUUUGUAUAUUUUUUGGUUGCAACACAUGCAUCUUCGUUGAGUACUUGAAUAUUAUAUUUGCAUAUAUUGAUGACAAUGUGGUUUUAUAUCAAUAGCUGAUUGUACUUAUUGUUUUAGAUAACAAUUAUAUGCAAGAAACGAAAGAUAUGACUAGGGAUGAACUCGGUACUAACCGGUACCGAAAAUUACAAAAAUGGGUACCGGUACCGAAAAUACCCGGUACCGUACCUGUACUGAAAACGUCAAAUAUUGGUACCGAGAAUAUUUCGGUUUGGAACAUUCCGUACCGUUACCAUUUGCAGAUCCUUAGAGAUGACAGACUAUAAAGAAAAUAAUGAAUCUUUUUAGUUAUUAGCUAAACUUAUUUGAUGUUCAAUUAGGCCUUUUAAGCCAACUUUAUAUCUUACUUAUUCUGAAUUACCCAUGUAUUUCAUGGGUUUGUAAUCUGUAUACAAAUAUAUUUAACUGUCUAUCAUGUUCUUUAAGUAAAUAAUUUGUUAUACAGUAACCUGUGCUUAUGAUUAUUGUUGGGUUUGCAAUAUAUUGAAUUCAAACCUAUUAAGGAAUUUGGUAUAACUUGACUUAUAAUUAUAAGUUAAGCAUUCGUAUGAAUGAACACUAACAUCUACUUACUUUUCAUGGUCGUUUUAAAUGCUUAUGAUCAUGGUCGAUUUUCAGGUUGAUAAUAAUUAUUUAAUAUCUAUAACGGGUCAAUUUGGUUAACUUAAAGAAAUUAACUAUAUGGGUCAAAUGUGUUGAACUUUGAGCAGGAUGAGGAUAAAUAAAGUGUAUGUGAUUCUACAUAUAUGAACAUGUGACAACUUAUACCUAUAGGCUAUAAAGUAAACUGGUCUUAUAUGAGAAAAUAGCAUUUGUGGACGAUAUAUAUUAUAUAAGGUGUGGUCAAAGGUUGCUUUCCAUAAGCCAUGCCCAUAAUAUAUGAUUAUUGCGGGGAAUCAAAAAUAUUUCGAUUCCGGGCUCAUGAACUUCCAUUUUUUCCUUAUUUCGCGCGGGGAACAUGCACCAUCAUUUAUAUUUAUGGGUAAAAUAAAGAGUUUUGAGUCCGAUCAAAUGGAGUCUAAAAGCGGGAAUGGUGAUAGUGAGGUAUAGAAAACCUUGCUGGAGCUUCUUAAUCAACUGCAAGGAUUCGAAGUAUCAAACAAGAUCAAGGUACUUUUUUGCGCAUUAUCAACACAAAUAUUUAGAUAUCUUUUUAAAGAUGUUAUAUUUAUGCAUCAUAUCUCUUUACAAUUAUAAUACCACUAGGUUAUCACCCGUGAAUACUCACGGGUCGGAUAUUUAAAUUUUAUUAAAUAUAAUUGUAUAUAUUUUAAAAAUGAAUAAUGCAUGACUAAUAAGAUAUAUUAAUUAAACGUUAACAACGUCUUCAAAAUUAAAAAUACUUAUCAAAUAUAAGACAAAGAAAACAUACUUGAUAAUAUUUAUUUACAUAAUUAUUUAAAGAAUCUUAAAUUACUGGAAUCUCAACUUCUUGUUUAAUAUAUACUACACAAAUGUAUAUAUAUAUAUAUAUAUAUGUUAAAAAAUGAAGAAUGCGUGACGAAUAAGGUAUACUAAAGUAUAUGUUGGACCUAUAAUAGACUGCCCAUAUUGAAUUAGACUAUCCCUACAAAUUCAACUAUGUACGACAAUCUACAUGGUUUCUUCUUUUUACCAGAUUCUAGCAAUGAUACCUCAAAUUAGUUGUCCUAUGCAUUCCCAAAACACAUUGAAGAAAUUUCAACUACUAUUGAGGUUAAAGUUUCAAUACUCAAAGAAAACAACUCAACACACAUUAACUUUUGAACUCACACUUUCCAAUCACUCCAAAAUUACAUUAAAUACCUGCACUCAUCCGAUAUUCGUUUGACCACUACUUGCAUAUACAAAACUAACCCAUGUUCCAAUCGAACACAAAAACAUGUUACUAAAAGAAUAUAUAAACUAAUUACUAUUGACCCAUUUAAUGACCCAUAUUCUGACUCGUAUCCAAUGAUUCGACUUUGACUCGUACCCAUCAAGAUUAACCUAUAAUAACUCUAUAACUCAUAAAAACCUUUCAAAACUCAGAUACAAAAUCCCAAUUUCUACAACAGCAAACAAAACCUAUAACAUCUUAUAUCCCAAUGAUUUAACAAAUAAAGACAUUUCUUGAACCUGAGUUAUAGAGUUCAAAACAUUUCAACUAUACUUCUCUUUAGUUAGUUUAUCAAUCAUCUUGUGAAAUUUUUUUAUAUUACGUGUCCUAGUUUUCUUUUUUGUAACAUCACGACGAUCUACAACGUGCUACAAAAUACUUUAUCAUUAGCAAAAUCAAUGUAAAUUUGUUACUUCUUGAUGCUAAAAUUGAGCUUUCAAUCCUAGGGAUGUUUUAGAAAGUCCUUGGUUUCCAUAGGCCCACAUUAUUUUUUAUUUUUAUUUUUUGAAAGGCCAACAAAAUCCAUUUUAUUUCAUCUAGGACCAACAAAUAAGUUAGUCCAUCACCAAAGUACAUAAGUUCACCAAACAGAAAGGAAAUUACACAUUUAAGCCUUGUAAAUUAAAACUACACCACUGCAGCCAUGACAAAUCUUCUGCCUUUGACCUGCUCUUUAUAUAGAGGUAACCCAAUUGUUUUAUCUCUUCUUUUACGCCUUCAAGUGAACCCAUUUUGUGGUUAAAUACCACGUCGUUCUGGUGUCUCCAUAUACUCCAAAGAGCGACUUGAACGACAUCAUUUAUAAGUUUCUUCCAUCUUUUCUCGACCCUCUGGCAUGUUUCCAGGCCUCCAACACAUCUGUUAUGCUGAACCAAAACAUACCCGGAAUCCUGCACCAGUUUGCGAUAAAAUCUCAAAUGGACCGCGCAAAGUCACAUGACACAAACAGGUGUUCCAAAGUCUCACCUUCCAGCAUGCAUAGUUUACAAACUGUAGAAUCCAGUUGCACGUUUCUUAUUGAUAGCUCUACCAUUGUCGGUAUCCGAUUCAUAGCAAGCCUCCAUGCCAUGAAACUCACCUUAAUCUUCCAGAGAAAAUCCGCCUCCCCAACCGAGUAACACCCGUGUUGGAGUUGUUUUUCUUAUACUCUGGACCGAGAACUUCCAGUCAGUCGUCCCAAACCCACCUCUCUUCGCCUGAGCUGGAAGUGAACCACAUGAGAUCCAACAAAAGCUCCUCCAAUUGUUCUGUUUCCUCAGUUGAACCGGGACUUCUAUGCCACUGGAACCUGAUUUCAUUAGAGCCGUCGAUCUGUGUGAUACAUCAUAUUAUGACAGUGUUAAUUAAUAGAGAGAGGGCAAGUAAUAUUGCUUUUAGUGGAGGCUUGGUUGGUUACUUAUAGUCAUAUAACUAAUUAAUCAUAAAGGGACCAUAAAUUUGAUUAAAAGAAUCCAUAACCUUACUCAGGGCACUUCAAUCUCUUAACUAAUUCAGUUAUUCCAUUUAUUUUUUAUGGUUGUUUUAAUUCAAUUCCACAAAAGGCAAGACAAUACUUCGGACUUAACUGUGUUAAUGUAGUUGUGUUAGCAAUGACAAAUGAAACAUUAACAAACUGACCAAGGGUCUUGCACAGUAAUGCCUUUCCUGAUUUUAUAUAGUCAAAUCAAACAAUUCAGCAAUAUGCAAACAACUUAAGAGGAUCUGAUAUGCAAAGAAAGAAAGAAAAAUAAGUAAAAAAGUGGAACAGCCUCAUGAAUCAUACCCGAGCUAGUUGGGACCAUUAAAAGUACAUUGCUUCUCACUAUCUCAACAUUAGCGUCGCCAUCUUCUACGCUAGCUCUUCCCAUUUUUAUACCAGACCUAAAAUUUAACAAUAACAGAACAUACCAAAAGUAGAGUCAGACUUCUAAUUCUCAUGUGUAUGUAUACUCUAUUAAGAUAUAUAUUUUAUAAUUUAAAACUUUAAAUGAACAACUUAGAAGAAUAAGAGAUAGAAAGUCGCUUACUUAAGGCUUUAUAAGACAUUGUGUAAAUCUUAGUCAGAGGCAAAGUUUAGUUACAAUACAUACAGCCUCCUAACUUUUUAGUCAGAGGCAAAUCGAUAACGUAAAACGGAAUUUAAUAUCGUGACUCUUGAUUUCUUCGACCGUCGAAGGAUGGUAGGGGAGGGUAAAGGGAACAUGCAUCUUAUUAAUCCAAUUAUUACAUUAUUAAUUAGCUACCCGGAUUAUUCGUGGCGAUAUGAUUCUGGCAUCUUAAAUCCGGUUGAUCUCAGGCGUCUUAGUUUUAUAUGGUAAAUUCCUUUUUGCCCACAUGAAAUCUAUUAUAAAGUAGUAUAGAUUCAGCCAAUUAUACGAACUCACCAACACAUUCAACAUCAAGGACUACAUUGUACUCGAUACUCGUUAAGCAUAUCAAAACUGGAAAGUUCAUAUAAUCGAUCGGAUAUAAGAUCAAUUCAGUUGACCACAAAAGUCAACUGCAGUAUGACAGAUAAGUAGUAGAUAACCCAUCUAAGAAGAACAUCGGGUAUAGUGAAAGCCAAAUAAAUUGAAUUGAGAUAAAAGAUUGAAAACACUAAAACCACGUAUAUAACAUAAUAUCAAUUUUACAUCAAAAUAACAACUUGAAGCUAAAGCAGCAGUUAAUUCUUUGCGUCACAAAUAAAACACAUAAAACUAAUCCGGAAAAUAACAAAAUGUUCACAACUCACCCGGAUCGCGGUCCACUUAUGCCCCCUCGGAAACGAUCGCCACCCCUUUGAAACGGCUUUCUUCCUCCACGAUUUGAAAAUCCGUCGCCUUGAUUAAUUUUUUUAGAACUUUCACCAUUUGCAAUAGCAACAAAAGGUCUCACGGUACUGUUAUUGCAUUCCAUUUGAAGUUGAUUAGACAUUGCAACUCCUUGCGGUAAGCCCGCGAACACCAUUGGCGGGCCCACUUGUGAUUGGUUAAAGUUGUUCUGAGGCAUACCUGAAGGCCAAGACACAAAUGCACCAAAAUUGAGGGGAACCAGUCCAGAAAACAAAAAAUAUAACAUAAAAAAAACAAAUCGGGUGAAAAAGGACCUGAAACAACUAUGUUCGACCCACUUCCUGAUUUUUUUUGAAAGAAAUGGUUCUUGGUUUGGUUUGAAUUGAGAACUGAACCAGUUUUUUGUUAAUUUAUUUAUUUUUUAAACUUAAAAAUGGAGUUGUUUCAGGUAUGCUUUUAACACAAAAACCGUAAACUGUGACCAAAUUGAUUCAUGUUGGUUUGCCUUACAUGUCUGGUCCACUGGUAUUGUUCAAUGAGAACUGAGCUGCAUAAAGAUCCAUGAAAAGUUCAGCGAUAGAAGUAUACCAUUGUUUUCAUUGGAAUCAAAAUGGCGAGUAUCCAGCCUUAUCUUCAAGUGAUCCUUUGCAUCCCGGUGAACAUGAACACAUGUAAAUUAAUAAAGAAUAAAAAAUUUAAAUCUGUUAGACUAAACAUCACCUGUAAAUUAAUAUUUGAUGCCAAUUACCCAGCAGAGAGUUUAUAGCCAACCCAUCCACUCUUAAACCCUAGAUAUCCACCGGCUAUGAUCACAAAAAUCAUGGCACUUAUGUUUGCAGUUGUCACAAUCGAUUUCACAGAAGUGCUCUACCACAUAAAAUUAACAAUCUUAAAAACCUUUUGAAAAAUGAACGAAUAAAAAAUUAAAGGAAAAUAUGAUUAAUACAUUAUGAAUCUGCUCAAAUCGAUGGACGAUUCAAAUGAAUCAACCAAUUUUGUGUGGAUUGUAUUGCAAUUAACAUCAAAUAAAAAUUUGAUAGCGAAAAAUAUGACCCUAGUUUGAAAGAACGAACCUGAUAAUUGGGGAUUGAAGAAGAAGAUGUAGCGAUGAGGAUGAAUUCGAAGAAGAUGCAGUUCUCAGCAUUGUAAUGGCUAAAACAUUUAUUUCGGUUUGGAACAUUCCGUACCGUUACCAUUUGCAGAUCCUUAGAGAUGACAGACUAUAAAGAAAAUAAUGAAUCUUUUUAGUUAUUAGCUAAACUUAUUUGAUGUUCAAUUAGGCCUUUUAAGCCAACUUUAUAUCUUACUUAUUCUGAAUUACCCAUGUAUUUCAUGGGUUUGUAAUCUGUAUACAAAUAUAUUUAACUGUCUAUCAUGUUCUUUAAGUAAAUAAUUUGUUAUACAGUAACCUGUGCUUAUGAUUAUUGUUGGGUUUGCAAUAUAUUGAAUUCAAACCUAUUAAGGAAUUUGGUAUAACUUGACUUAUAAUUAUAAGUUAAGCAUUCGUAUGAAUGAACACUAACAUCUACUUACUUUUCAUGGUCGUUUUAAAUGCUUAUGAUCAUGGUCGAUUUUCAGGUUGAUAAUAAUUAUUUAAUAUCUAUAACGGGUCAAUUUGGUUAACUUAAAGAAAUUAACUAUAUGGGUCAAAUGUGUUGAACUUUGAGCAGGAUGAGGAUAAAUAAAGUGUAUGUGAUUCUACAUAUAUGAACAUGUGACAACUUAUACCUAUAGGCUAUAAAGUAAACUGGUCUUAUAUGAGAAAAUAGCAUUUGUGGACGAUAUAUAUUAUAUAAGGUGUGGUCAAAGGUUGCUUUCCAUAAGCCAUGCCCAUAAUAUAUGAUUAUUGCGGGGAAUCAAAAAUAUUUCGAUUCCGGGCUCAUGAACUUCCAUUUUUUCCUUAUUUCGCGCGGGGAACAUGCACCAUCAUUUAUAUUUAUGGGUAAAAUAAAGAGUUUUGAGUCCGAUCAAAUGGAGUCUAAAAGCGGGAAUGGUGAUAGUGAGGUAUAGAAAACCUUGCUGGAGCUUCUUAAUCAACUGCAAGGAUUCGAAGUAUCAAACAAGAUCAAGGCAGGUGUUGACAACGGUCAUCCCGUAUGCUACAAUACACGGACAAGGUUUCUGAGCUGGAGGAUGCAGUUUCUUAAAAAGAGUACCCGGAAGCUCGAUGUUAGCCCGAAUCGAGUGUGUAUGGAUUUUAAGAACUCGCCUGGACUGUUUAAGUGGGACCUUCAUCAAGCUACCAAUCAGGCACUGCAGUUGUUUCACACGAGGCUAAACCUAGAUACUCAGCUAAGUAAUGUAAUUUCAAUCGGAGUUGGAUACUCAACAUAUAUUCAUUUUGAGUCAGCUCAUGACUUGGUUAGCUUUUGUUUUGUUUUGUUUUUUUUUUUUUUUUUUGGUUCAGAUGAUUUUGUAUGUGUUUUUUAGAAGACUUAGAUAAAACUAUAUUGUAAAAUUAUCCAUAAGCUAAUAAAACUAUACUAUACUAUAAAAUUAUAUAUUUUUUCGACUUCUGUUAUAUUUGACCUUUUCAAUGAAUAUCGACAAAACAUAUCCCCCAUGUUUUGAGGCAAGUCUUUUGGUUCACAUGUCUUUUCGUACUAAAGUGAAAUUACUGAAAUGACCUCACACUCACUCGCCUGAUAUGAUAAGAAGCCUAAAAACUUAUUAACGAUAUCCCUGGUAAUUUUUACAUAAGUCUAAAAACUUUUUAACCAUCUCUGCCGUAAUCUUUAAAUAAGUAAUAAAACGUUUAUUUCAUUUCAGAGUUCUAUAUAAACACAGAUAAAUAGUACAAUUUACUUUUGGUAACCCAUUAAGUUUUUUGUGAACAGUUCUACAAAUCAUAUUUUUUAAGUUGCUCUGUUAUUUCACUCGACUUACCAAUUUCGUUUUGAAACCUACUAAUUUUGUUAUUUUAUGAAGCAAAGGGGGGCAAAUCGUCAAGAUUUUUAGAUAUCCUUUCAGAUCGCGUCCAAACCUAAAAACGACAAGCUACCCGCUUUACCACCGUCAAUUGCAUUUGGGUUUGUUUGAUUGUCUUCUAAACUAUGCUUUUUAUCAAAAUAAUUUGCUUUAUAUAAUAACAAAUGUUGAAAAGACUUAUCAGCGAUUUGCGUUUUUAGGUUUCUCGUGACCGACAUCUGUUGGUCUUCAAUACUUACAUUCACCGCUGAAAACACCCAGCCCCAUUGUCCCUCUUGUGUGUGACGCGUGACUUAUCUUGAUGUUGAUUUUUAUGUGGCGCUUACUUUUCUUCAGUAGUCUAUUUUUGUUCCGGUGGCUGCCUACGGUGGUUUUGGGCGCUUCUUCUGCGGUUUUCUUUGUUCAGGUUGAGUCCUAUAUGAAAGCUUCUGCUCAAACCAUUUCUUUAAUUGGUCGAGAGGCCGAUGGCAUGUGCUCAAACGGAUUCGGGUAAAACAAUAGCAUUUUGCUUCCGCAAAGGGGGUAAAUCGUCAAGAUUUUUAGAUAUCCUUUCAGAUCGCAUCCAAACCUAAGAACGACAAGCUACCCGCUUUACCACAGUCAAUUGCAUUCAGGUUUCUCGUGACCAGCAUCUAUUGUUCUUCAAUACUUACAUUCACCGCUGAAAACACCCAGCCCCAUUGUCCCUCUUUUGUGUGACGCGUGACUUAUCUUGAUUUUGAGUUUUAUGUGGCGCUUAGUUUUCUUCAGUAGUCUAUUUGUGUUCCGGUGGCCGCCUACGGUGGUUUUGGGCGCUUCUUCUGCGGUUUUCUUUGUUCAGGAAAGGAGAUUAUUAUAGGUAUCUUGCAGAGUUCAAGACUGGCGAUGAUAAGAAAGAGGCAGCUGACCAGUCUCUGAAGGCUUCUCAAUUGGCUUCCACCUCAGCAGAAGCUGAAUUAUCUUCUACUCACCCGAUCAGGUUGGGUUUGGGUUUGAACUUCUCUGUCUUCUAUUAUGAGAUCAUGAACUCUCCUGAAAGCUAUCUCAGAGCUUGAUUCCUUGAGCGAGGAAUCGUACAAAGAUAGCACUUUAAUUAUGCGGCUCUUGAGGGAGAACCUCACUUUGUGGACUUCCGACAUUCCAGAGGAUGGAGAAGAUGAAAAGAUGGAGAUCACCAAAUCUGUUGCGGAAGAGUAGUCUAUUUGUGUUCCGGUGGCUGCCUACGGUGGUUUUGGGCGCUUCUUCUGCGGUUUUCUUUGUUCAGUAAGAUUGUAUGACGACUGCGGCCUAGCUCUGGGUAAGACAUGAUGAUGUAUGUUAUUUGUAAGCUUGAUUUCUAAAGUAGUGAUUGAGAGGAAUGAUUUUAGGUUGUAUUUGUUUGAACGGUUUUAGGUCACUUAUUCAUUCCGAUAUCUAUCAAAUAACAUUGCCUUUUCUUUUCUGAUGGUUCA